AAGUCGUAACAAGGUAUCCGUAGGUGAACCUGCGGAUGGAUCAUUAUCAAUUAUAAUUGUGAUUGGUUUACAAUAAUUAUAUUGUACACCUUUCAUGUUACAAUCAUUUUUGUGAACUGUUGGACAUAUCGAAUAUACUGACGUGAAUUCGAUACUUUCCGUACUGUCAUUGUAAUAUUAUCAUUCAUAAACUCUAGGAAUCUAAAACUUUUAGCAACGGAUCUCUAGGCUCUC
rnacentral:misc_RNA from 1 species